rnacentral:rRNA from 1 species
GACGAACGCUGGCGGCGUGCCUAACACAUGCAAGUCGAGCGGAGAUGAUAGCAAUAUCAUCUUAGCGGCGGACGGGUGAGUAACGCGUGGGCAACCUGCCUUACAGAGGGGGAUAACAGUGCGAAAGCACUGCUAAUACCGCAUGAAAUUGCGAUAUCACAUGGUAUUGUAAUCAAAGGAGAAAUCCGCUGUAAGAUGGGCCCGCGUCUGAUUAGCUAGUUGGUGAGGUAAUGGCUCACCAAGGCGACGAUCAGUAGCCGAUCUGAGAGGAUGAACGGCCACACUGGAACUGAGACACGGUCCAGACUCCUACGGGAGGCAGCAGUGGGGAAUAUUGCACAAUGGGGGAAACCCUGAUGCAGCAACGCCGCGUGGAGGAUGAAGGUUUUCGGAUUGUAAACUCCUUUGAUCGGGGAUGAAUAAAUGACAGUACCCGAAAAACAAGCCACGGCUAACUACGUGCCAGCAGCCGCGGUAAUACGUAGGUGGCAAGCGUUGUCCGGAAUUAUUGGGCGUAAAGGGCGCGUAGGCGGUCCCUUAAGUCAGAUGUGAAAUCCCGAGGCUUAACCUCGGGCGUGCAUUUGAAACUGGGGGACUAGAGUGCAGGAGAGGUAAGUGGAAUUCCUAGUGUAGCGGUGAAAUGCGUAGAUAUUAGGAGGAACACCAGUGGCGAAGGCGACUUACUGGACUGUAACUGACGCUGAGGCGCGAAAGCGUGGGGAGCAAACAGGAUUAGAUACCCUGGUAGUCCACGCCGUAAACGGUGGGUACUAGGUGUGGGUUUCCUUCCUUGGGAUCCGUGCCGUAGCUAACGCAUUAAGUACCC